rnacentral:rRNA from 1 species
UAGGGAAUCUUCCACAAUGGACGCAAGUCUGAUGGAGCAACGCCGCGUAAGUGAAGAAGGUCUUCGGAUCGUAAAACUCUGUUGUUAGAGAAGAACACGAGUGAGAGUAACUGUUCAUUCGAUGACGGUAUCUAACCAGCAAGUCACGGCUAACUACGUGUCAG